GCUUCGGCAAUGGGCGAAAGCCUGACCGAGCGACGCCGCGUGAGGGAUGAAGCCCCUUGGGGUGUAAACCUCUUUCGACCGGGAAGAACGUCCCGAUGGUGAAUCGGGAUUUGACGGUACCGGGAGAAGAAGCACCGGCUAACUCCGUGCCAGCAGCCGCGGUAAUACGGGGGGUGCAAGCGUUAUUCGGAUUUAUUGGGCGUAAAGGGCGCGUAGGCGGUCUGGUAAGUCUGGUGUGAAAACGCUACCGCUUAACGGAGCGAUUGCACUGGAUACUGCUAGACUUGAGUGCGGGAGAGGUGAGCGGAAUGUGUGGUGUAGCGGUGGAAUGCGUAGAUAUCACACAGAAUACCCGUGGCGAAGGCGGCUCACUGGCCCGCAACUGACGCUGAGGCGCGAAAGCGUGGGGAGCAAACGGG
rnacentral:rRNA from 1 species